GGACGGGAUUUAGUAAACGGAAGCUUCGGUGGAAGAUUACUAAUGAGAGUGGCGAACGGGUGAGUAACGCGUGAGCAACCUGCCUAUGACAGUGGGAUAGCCUCGGGAAACCGGGAUUAAUACCGCAUAAAAUCGUAGAAACACAUGUUUUAACGGUCAAAGAUUUAUCGGUCAUAGAUGGGCUCGCGUCUGAUUAGCUAGUUGGUGAGAUAACAGCCCACCAAGGCGACGAUCAGUAGCCGGUCUGAGAGGAUGAACGGCCACAUUGGAACUGAGACACGGUCCAAACUCCUACGGGAGGCAGCAGUGGGGAAUAUUGCACAAUGGGGGAAACCCUGAUGCAGCGACGCCGCGUGAACGAAGAAGGUAUUCGUAUCGUAAAGUUCUGUCCUAUGGGAAGAUAAUGACAGUACCAUAGAAGAAAGCUCCGGCUAAAUACGUGCCAGCAGCCGCGGUAAUACGUAUGGAGCGAGCGUUGUCCGGAAUUAUUGGGCGUAAAGGGUACGCAGGCGGUUUAAUAAGUCGAAUGUUAAAGAUCGGGGCUCAACCCCGUAAAGCAUUGGAAACUGAUAAACUUGAGUAGUGGAGAGGAAAGUGGAAUUCCUAGUGUAGUGGUGAGAUACGUAGAUAUUAGGAGGAAUACCAGUAGCGAAGGCGACUUUCUGGACACAAACUGACGCUGAGGUACGAAAGCGUGGGGAGCAAACAGGAUUA
rnacentral:rRNA from 2 species